CAGAGAGCUUCCAUAUUACAGUAACGAUCAAAGAUCACUUUAAUUGCGUAAUACACUACAAUGUCCAGUUUGAGAAUAAAUACAAACAUUUGGCAAGAAACCCACAGAGUUUAACCGAAUCUUCAUUUUUUUUCCCAACAAGAUCCAUGUUAAUGAAACCAUGCCCAGCACUUCGCAAUGUAGAAUUCGCCAAUAGCGCCAGUCUUUGAAUGAAAGAAUUGCAACAUUUCAACCCCCUUAGCCGUCUCUCCAGUUUACAGGGUAUCAAACAAAAUGCAUGUGGAAAAUCAGAUCAUAAAAUAUCACAUCAACUAAUUUCAGCAAUGGAGUGUUGUAGGAAACCGUCAACACUUUCAGUGCCAAUUGGUGCAAGAUGACAAUAUACAUACGAAGCACAGCACAAAGGAGGAAAAAUCGAGCAAAGUGGGACAUGCAGGUUUUCUGCCCUCAUCACCAUGGAGACAGGUUAAGUAUAGUUAUCCAGCUCUCACUGGUAGCCCUGGAGUGUCGGCAUUAGAAUUCGGUUUCUAUACAUUCUUAACUUCAUGGAACUGGUACAUAUCGGGUCACAUUUGCCCAUUUGCUUACAGCUUUGUCUCAGUCAUGAAACAUUAUAUUCACAUAUAAAGUGAUGCAUUCCCA